rnacentral:rRNA from 2 species
GAGAGUUUGAUCCUGGCUCAGGACGAACGCUGGCGGCGUGCCUAACGCAUGCAAGUCGGACGGGCAGGGCCUUUGGGACCUGCGACCGUGGCGGACGGGUGCGGAACACGUACGUGACCUGCCCGGUAGUGGGGGAUAACCCCUCGAAAGGGGGGCUAAUACCGCAUGUGGUCGCUGGGCUGCGGUCCAGCGAGUAAAGCCUGGUGGACGCCGGGUGCUACCGGAGGGGCGUGCGGCGGAUUAGCUAGUUGGUGGGGUAACGGCCCACCAAGGCGACGAUCCGUAGCUGGUCUGAGAGGAUGGCCAGCCACACGGGGACUGAGACACGGCCCCGACUCCUACGGGAGGCAGCAGCGAGGAAUCUUGGGCAAUGGGCGCAAGCCUGACCCAGCGACGCCGCGUGGGGGAGGACGGCCUUCGGGUUGUAAACCCCUUUUCACCGGGACGAAGGGCUGACGGUACCGGUGGAAGAAGCCCCGGCUAACUACGUGCCAGCAGCCGCGGUAAGACGUAGGGGGCGAGCGUUGUCCGGAGUUACUGGGCGUAAAGCGCGCGCAGGCGGUGCGGUAAGGUCGCGGUGAAAGCCCCUGGCUCACCUGGGGGAGGUCCGCGGCGACUGCCGGACUGGAGGGGGGCAGAGGCCGGUGGAAUUCCCGGUGUAGUGGUGAAAUGCGUAGAGAUCGGGAGGAACACCCGUGGCGAAGGCGGCCGGCUGGGCCCUACCUGACGCUGAGGCGCGAAAGCGUGGGGAGCGAACCGGAUUAGAUACCCGGGUAGUCCACGCCGUAAACGAUGGCCACUAGGUGUGGGAGGUAUCGACCCCUUCCGUGCCGGAGCGAACGCGUUAAGUGGCCCGCCUGGGGAGUACGGCCGCAAGGCUAAAACUCAAAGGAAUUGACGGGGGCCCGCACAAGCAGCGGAGCGUGUGGUUUAAUUCGACGCAACGCGAAGAACCUUACCAGGGCUUGACAUGCCGCGUUCAGCCCGGGAAACCGGGUGGCCCGCGAGGGCGAGCGGCACAGGUGCUGCACGGCUGUCGUCAGCUCGUGCCGUGAGGUGUUGGGUUAAGUCCCGCAACGAGCGCAACCCCUGCCGGAAGUUACAGGUGUCUUCCGGGACUGCCGGUGGCAAGCCGGAGGAAGGCGGGGAUGACGUCAAGUCAGCGUGGCCCUGACGUCCUGGGCGACACACACGCUACAAUGGCCGGUACAGCGGGCGGCGACCGCGCGAGCGGAAGCGAAUCCCUGAAAGCCGGCCUCAGUUCAGAUUGCAGGCUGCAACUCGCCUGCAUGAAGGCGGAGUUGCUAGUAACCGCGGGUCAGCACACCGCGGUGAAUACGUUCCCGGGCCUUGUACACACCGCCCGUCACGUCAUGGGAGGUGGCAACGCCUGAAGCCGCCGGGCCAACCCCGAUGAGGGGAGGCAGGCGUCGAGGGCGGGGCUGCUGACUGGGACGAAGUCGUAACAAGGUAGCCGUAGCGGAAGCUGCGGCUGGAUCACCUCCUUUCUA